AGAAAAAUAAGCUAAACAAGCUUAUGGGUUCAUACCCCAUUUAUAGGGGUUCUACCCCCCUUUUUUCUA
rnacentral:tRNA from 1 species